GGGCCCGUAGCUCAGGUGGUUAGAGCGCACGCCUGAUAAGCGUGAGGUCGUUGGUUCAAGUCCAACCGGGCCCACCA
rnacentral:tRNA from 1 species